UGGGGAAUCUUGUGCAAUGGACGAAAGUCUGACACAGCCACGCCGCGUGCGGGAAGAAGGCCUUCGGGUUGUAAACCGCUUUCAGCAGGAACGAAAAUGACGGUACCUGCAGAAGAAGGAGCGGCCAACUACGUGCCAGCAGCCGCGGUGACACGUAGGCUCCAAGCGUUGUCCGGAUUUAUUGGGCGUAAAGCGCGCGCAGGCGGCUAUCCAAGUCAGUGGUGAAAGCCCGGAGCUCAACUCCGGAACUGCCAUUGAAACUGUUUAGCUUGAGGACGAGAGAGGUGAGUGGAAUUCCCAGUGUAGAGGUGAAAUUCGUAGAUAUUGGGAAGAACACCGAUGGCGAAGGCAAUCCCCUGGACCUGUACUGACGCUCAUGCACGAAAGCGUGGGGAGCAAACAGG
rnacentral:rRNA from 1 species